UACGAAGGGUGCUAGCGUUGUUCGGAAUCACUGGGCGUAAAGCGUGCGCAGGCGGCCAUUCAAGUCAGAGGUGAAAUACCUGGGCUCAACCCAGGAACUGCCUUUGAAACUGUAUGGCUGGAGACUCGGAGGGGUUGGCGGAAUUCCUAAUGUAGCGGUGAAAUGCGUAGAUAUUAGGAGGAACACCAGUGGCGAAGGCGGCCAACUAGACGAGUACUGACGCUCAUGCACGAAAGCGUGGGGAUCAAACAGG
rnacentral:rRNA from 1 species